AGAUCCUUGUAGUGUUUCUCCUUGCAAAUCGGGUUUCUGUCAAGCAUAUGAUGAUAAUACUGGAUUUCGUUGUCGUUGUCGGCCUGGUUACACUGGGAACUUAUGUGAAAUAAACAAAAAAAAGACCAGCCCUUGUACCAGUAACCCGUGUUACGGAGGAGCAAACUGUAUAGGUGUUCCGUCUCCUCCAUAUUAUAUUUGUUUUUACAUUGACAAAUGUGGUAAAUAUAGCUGUGCAAGGAACGAAAUGUGUUAUCAGGGGAUACCUCAAAAUUAUACUUGCAGUGCAAUAAGUAA